rnacentral:rRNA from 1 species
AUCUGGGCGGCGAAAUUCAGAAUGACUGGCCGGCCUUGUGCAUGUUCGGUCGUUUGAUAUUUUCGUCGCCGUGUCAGACGUCGCGAUCUGUUUGUUGUCGGUCCUUGCUCGGAGGAAUUGCGAUCGAGUUUGUUGUGGACGCGUUCCGGCGUGUCAUACGGCAAAGACGUAAAUCUCUGGCCGAUAAUAGACAGUAAGCAAUGGUAGCCGACGCUGUGUUAUGUGCACGGUGUUGGUGCCGAUCGGCGACGAUUUCUUCGGGCCUCUUUCCGACCCGUCUUGAAACACGGACCAAGGAGUCUAACAUACGCGCGAGUCGCGGGGUAUCGAGCGUGCUACGGUGCGCUCGGUCUUUAUGAAACCCGUAUUUGAAGGCGUAAUGAAAGUAAACAGGGAAGAUGGUGUUCCGAGUAUACGUACCGUGAAAUUUCGCGGCCGGACACCCGCAUUCCCGGGGCGUCUCAAUGGUUCAUCGUAGAUGCGGAUUGUCGUCUCUCGGGGCGAUAGUCGGUUUGCGAUGGUCCGA